UCGCACUAGUAGAGUUUGAUCCUGGCUCAGAAUGAACGCUGGCGGCAUGCCUAACACAUGCAAGUCGAACGAGACCUUCGGGUCUAGUGGCGCACGGGUGCGUAACGCGUGGGAAUCUGCCCUUGGGUUCGGAAUAACAGCGAGAAAUUGCUGCUAAUACCGAAUGAUGACGUAAGUCCAAAGAUUUAUCGCCCAAGGAUGAGCCCGCGUAGGAUUAGCUAGUUGGUGAGGUAAAAGCUCGCCAAGGCGACGAUCCUUAGCUGGUCUGAGAGGAUGAUCAGCCACACUGGGACUGAGACACGGCCCAGACUCCUACGGGAGGCAGCAGUGGGGAAUAUUGGACAAUGGGCGAAAGCCUGAUCCAGCAAUGCCGCGUGAGUGAUGAAGGCCUUAGGGUUGUAAAGCUCUUUUACCCGGGAUGAUAAUGAAGUACGGCAGGAAUAAGCAUCCGGCUAACUCCGUGCCAGCAGCCGCGG
rnacentral:rRNA from 1 species